rnacentral:rRNA from 1 species
GAUGAACGCUAGCGGCAGGCCUAAUACAUGCAAGUCGAACGAGAUUAGUAGCAAUACUAUGAAAGUGGCGCACGGGUGCGUAACACGUAUGCAAUCUACCUUUAAUUGGAGAAUAGCCUCGAGAAAUCGGGAUUAAUACUCCAUAACAUUAUGAAGUGGCAUCACUUUAUAAUUAAACCUCCGGGGAUUAAAGAUGAGCAUGCGCAACAUUAGCUAGUUGGUAAGGUAAUGGCUUACCAAGGCUACGAUGUUUAGGGGGUCUGAGAGGAUGAUCCCCCACACUGGUACUGAGACACGGACCAGACUCCUACGGGAGGCAGCAGUAGGGAAUAUUGGGCAAUGGAGGCAACUCUGACCCAGCCAUGCCGCGUGCAGGAUGACGGCCCUCUGGGUUGUAAACUGCUUUUAUACGGGAAGAAAAAAUACUACGUGUAGUACAUUGACGGUACCGUAAGAAUAAGGAUCGGCUAACUCCGUGCCAGCAGCCGCGGUAAAGU